rnacentral:lncRNA from 1 species
AUCACAUGACAGAAUCAGUUCCACUUCAAAAUGGCUUUAGGGUGUAAUAGGUUUCAGAAAUAUUCUGCUAGUGUAGUUUUAUGCGCUCCGUGUGCGGCUCGCUGCAGGAGAUGAUCGCACAGAUGUGGAGCUCAGCUGGAGUCAGGAGCCGAGGAGCUGUGGUUCAUCCCGAGACUCGAUCACUUCAGCGGGGCAGACACUCGAGUCUGGAAACAGCAGUCGUCAGGCAUUGGCCGAUCUCGCUCACUUCCGCGCGGUUACCGCAGCGACGCGGGGCCUGACCAAUAGCAAGUGGGUUGCGUUUGGAGGCUCCUACCCAGGAUCCCUUGCAGCCUGGUUCUGUCUGAAGUACCCACACCUGGUGCAUGCCUCCGUAGCGACCAGCGCACCCGUUCACGCCACUGUCAUCUUCCCAGAAUAUUUAGAGGUUGUGUGGCGAUCACUGGCGGUGGAAAACCCAGAGUGCCCUCUAGUGGUGAAGAAAGCAUCUGACACGUUGGUAGAACGACUCAAUGACUCAAUGUCAGUUGCAGCCGCUGGACUGUGACUAUCCUGGUUUCAGUGUCCUUCUUAGUUCCGUUCGACUUGGGAUGUGUGUGUGUGAUUCUGAGAUCCUGGAAUGCCGUCUGUGCUCCGUAGCUCAGUUAUGGAGCAGGGUCAGUCGUCUCAGCACGACCCGCAGAAAGAAAACACUCAAUCUAAAACAUCCUUCAUCUUUCUCUUCCUUCCGGCCCACAGACUUUCUGCUGUCAUGCCUCUGGCUGUGUUUGGAAUGGACUACAAGGAACUAGUAUGGUACAAAUAAGCAAGAAAUCAGAAUUUUUA